AUGCAUUUUCACCUCGGUCAUUGUUUUGAUAGACAUGCAACGAGUAGUGUGAGAGAGACGCGCACUCUCUGGGAACGGUGUACAACAGUAUGUUGAGCAUUUCAGCCCUCGUGAAGUGAAUGUGAUGUUCUGUAGGAGCUGAUUGUUACGCUCUUCACCAAUCAGCUGAUGACCCUAUUCAAUAUGAAGGGGAAGGGCAAAAAAGAUAAAAUUAGAAUUGAAGACAAGAAAUUGUUUUCAGCAAUAAAAGCUGCUGUCAUGAAAUGGGACCCAGCUGCAACAGAGUCCCAAAUAAAGUCUGCUGCAUCUGAUCAUAUGAAACAUGCCCCCGGGAGAGUCGGGGUGGUGGCUGUAAAUGAAUAUAUUGUGGACCUUAUAGCAGCCACAUUUUGUUAAUUGUUUACUGUUUUAACAAAACUUUAUAGCACUUUUAUUUAUAACUUUACUGUUCUGGCUUUUAAGUUUUAUUAUAUUAUUGUGUUAAUUUAUACUUGACUGUUCAGGUUUUAAGUUGUAUUGUGUUAAUUUAUACUUUACUG